GACGAACGCUGGCGGCGUGCUUAACACAUGCAAGUCGAACGGAAAGGCCCCCUUGUGGGGUACUCGAGUGGCGAACGGGUGAGUAACACGUGAGUAACCUACCCUUUACUUUGGGAUAACUUCAGGAAACUGGGGCUAAUACCGGAUAGGAGCUCCUGCUGCAUGGUGGGGGUUGGAAAGUUUCGGCGGUUGGGGAUGGACUCGCGGCUUAUCAGCUUGUUGGUGGGGUAGUGGCUCACCAAGGCUUUGACGGGUAGCCGGCCUGAGAGGGUGACCGGCCAAAUUGGGACUGAGAUACGGCCCAGACUACUACGGGAGGCAGCAGUGGGGAAUAUUGCACAAUGGGCGGAAGCCGGAUGCAGCAACGCCGCGUGCGGGAUGACGGCCUUCGGGUUGUAAACCGCUUUCGCCUGUGACGAAGCGUGAGUGACGGUAAUGGGUAAAGAAGCACCGGCUAACUACGU
rnacentral:rRNA from 1 species